UACGUAGGGUGCGAGCGUUUGUCCGGAAUUAUUGGGCGUAAAGAGCUUGUAGGCGGUCUGUCGCGUCUGCUGUGAAAAUCCGGGGCUCAACCCCGGACUUGCAGUGGGUACGGGCAGACUAGAGUGUGGUAGGGGAGACUGGAAUUCCUGGUGUAGCGGUGAAAUGCGCAGAUAUCAGGAGGAACACCGGUGGCGAAGGCGGGUCUCUGGGCCGAUACUGACGCUGAGGAGCGAAAGCGUGGGGAGCGAACAGG
rnacentral:rRNA from 1 species